rnacentral:rRNA from 1 species
GACGAACGCUGGCGGCGCGCUUAACACAUGCAAGUCGAGCGAAGCGGCGGACGGGUGAGUAACACGUGAGUAACCUGCCUUAGACAUUGGGAUAGCCUCGGGAAACCGGGAUUAAUACCAAAUGGUCUAAGAUUGAAUCGCGUCCAAUUAGCUAGUUGGGAGGUAACGGCCCACCAAGGCGACGAUGGGUAGCCGGCCUGAUAGGGGGAACGGCCACAUUGGAACGGAGCAACGGUCCAAACUCGACGGGAGGCAGGAGUGGGGAAUAUUGCACAAGGGAGGGAACUCUGAGGCAGCGACGACGCGGGAUCGAAGAAGGAUUUAGAGUCUUAAAGGUCUUUUAUAUGGGAAGCGGUACCAUAAGAAAAAGCCCCGGCUAACUACGUGCCAGCAGCCGCGGUAAUUC